AUUGAACGCUGGCGGCAGGCCUAACACAUGCAAGCCGAGCGGUUGAGGUGCUCUUGCUCCUGGAUACCGCGGCGGACGGGCGUGUAAUGCGUACGAACUUGCCUUGUCGUGGGGGUUGACUUUCGAAAACGGGCGCAAAUACCGCUUAUGUCUUGAGGGGCAUCGUGGGGGAUCUACGGAUCUCACGCUAUCAGAUGAGCAUAGGUCGGAUUAGCUAGUUGGUGGGGUAACGGCUUACCAAGGCGAUGAUCCGUAACUGGUCUGAGAGGAUGAUCAGUCACACUGGACCUGAGAUGCGGUCCAGACUACUCCGGGAGGCAGGGGUGGGGAAUGUUGGACUAGGGGCGAAAUCCUAGUCCAGCCCUGCCGCCUGUGUGAAAAAAGUCCUCGGAUUGGAGAGCUCUUUAAGUUUGGAGGAAGGACAGUACGAUAAUACCUUGCUGUUUUGACGUUACCAACAGAAUAAGCACCGGCUAACUUCGUG
rnacentral:rRNA from 1 species